rnacentral:rRNA from 1 species
UACAGAGGGGGCAAGCGUUGUUCGGAAUUACUGGGCGUAAAGGGCGCGUAGGCGGCCGCCUAAGUCAGACGUGAAAUCCCUCGGCUCAACCGGGGAACUGCGUCUGAUACUGGGUGGCUUGAAUCCGGGAGAGGGAUGCGGAAUUCCAGGUGUAGCGGUGAAAUGCGUAGAUAUCUGGAGGAACACCGGUGGCGAAGGCAGCCCCCUGGGCUGACACUGACGCUCAGGCACGAAAGCGUGGGGAGCAAACAGG